AUUGAACGCUGGCGGCAGGCUUAACACAUGCAAGUCGAGCGGGGUGAUGGUGCUUGCACUAUCACUUAGCGGCGGACGGGUGAGUAAUGCUUAGGAAUCUGCCUAUUAGUGGGGGACAACAUCUCGAAAGGGAUGCUAAUACCGCAUACGUCCUACGGGAGAAAGCAGGGGAUCACUUGUGACCUUGCGCUAAUAGAUGAGCCUAAGUCGGAUUAGCUUGUUGGUGGGGUAAAGGCCUACCAAGGCGACGAUCUGUAGCGGGUCUGAGAGGAGGAUCCGCCACACUGGGACUGAGACACGGCCCAGACUCCUACGGGAGGCAGCAGUGGGGAAUAUUGGACAAUGGGGGGAACCCUGAUCCAGCCAUGCCGCGUGUGUGAAGAAGGCCUUAUGGUUGUAAAGCACUUUAAGCGAGAAGGAGGCUCUUUUGGUUAAUACCCAAGAUGAGUGGACGUUACUCGCAGAAUAAGCACCGGCUAACUCUGUGCCAGCAGCCACAGUAA
rnacentral:rRNA from 1 species